GACUGAAACAUUCCUCGUAUCAGUGCUAAGAGGAAGGCUAUAUGAGCAAUUAAUUGUGCAAAUAUUCUGAAAAGGUAGAGGAGAGACGAUGAAGAGGUCGUACACGUGCUGCAAUACGUGGGUGAGCCAUUUUGCUCCGUCUGCCUCACCUCUUUUCCUUGAAUCUUCCACCCAAAGUGCAGUAAGUCAUGUUAUUUAUAUAACAGAAUUAUAUAAUAUGCAUAUCACAUAUUAUAUUUGUUCUAUAUAUGCAUAUUAUAUAUCUUCUGUAUAUAAAUAGCAGGGAAUCAGGAGCCUCGCUGGGCCAGGAUGAAUUCUCCCACACUGCAGCUACACAGGUGUCAUGAACGUGACAUAAGCGUGACAUGAAGCGCAGUGAGCAUCUGCUGCUGACUUCCAAAAAUGGACAAAAAAUUAUAACAUGAAAGAGAUUGGGAUACCAUCGAUGCCCUUGAGACGAGGAACACAAACCUCAUUUCAGAAGUGCUGCCAUUCAAUCAGAUAUAUGAUAAAAAUUUUGGUGAUCUCAAUGAAGAGUCCUACAUCCAAGCUGCACAUCUUGGGGAGGAAGUCUCUACUGCUGCUGAGCCUAGUGGAGAUGGUGCCAGCAUGGAGCAUGAAGGCCCCGACCUCACUACUGGUGCCAGGCAGCACUCCUUGCCACCUGCAAGUCAUGCUGGAUGUAAUAAGCAGUGCAAGUAGUGCAAGGUGUAGUAAUACCUUUGAAGCAUCACUCCAUCUAUAGGAAGCAAGCUAUUUUAUGUAGAGAAAUAACUAAGGAGAUAUUCUACACUAUAUCAUAUCCUCUUUUUUUCCUAUAUAGUCAGCUAGCAUCUUAUAUUCUUGAUUACUUCAUUAUAGUUUUUUUUUUUUUAUCAAACUUCUAAAACAUUAUAUUGCAAAUAUAGCCUGUGAAUUUAAGUGAUAAUUUAUUUCAAUAAUUUCUUUCAUCAAGCAAAGUGUACGUAUAUCUGUGCCUCAUAUAAUGAUUUCUUACCAGUGUGUUUUAUUGUAAACCUUUUACUGAAUCUGUUCAUUCACUCCUUUAUAGAUAAGUGAACAUAACUUAUACAGCAGUCAAUAUUCUGGCAGUUAAUGCAAAACUAUUGUUGGAUUGAGACUAAGUUAACCUAACUUAUUGUGUUUUGAGAGCUGACUACCAAGGCAAUGUGAGGAGUAAUGUUACAUGAUGAUUAAUGUACAUGAAUGUUACAGAAUGUUCCAUAAGUGGUGAGCACCAUGCAGGCCCCUCAGGCUACACAGUCCCACACCAAAGACUGGCUGGCUGACUGACGGGACUGCUUGUUAUGGUGGGUGGCUCGGCGACUCGUCUGUGUCUACGCGAGCGCCAAACAGCUGUAACAGGGCUGCGUGGUGUGCGUCGUGCCUUGUGUGUGGCAACAGUGAUUCGUGCUUACAAGCGUCUCUACUAACAACUGUUGACUCGCGCAUCUCUGCCAACGUUUAGCGGAGUGACUGGGAUUUAUCAUGUGCAAUGGCUGCAUGACUAAUGGAGCUGAGACACGUGUCAAAUUAAAGUGGCAAGGGUGUCUUGUCUAUAUGCAAGCAUCCCUUCAAGCACUGCAGCUGGUCGCCGAACAGACUAUGAAUGGUCGACUGACGGCGACUAGUUUACUUGACCGGUGAGUGAGGCGGGCGGCGGUGAGCCUGGAGUAACUGCCUGGGGCGUCUUCCAGUGACAAGUGGGUAUGCUAAAUGUAGUGAUAAAGUUCACUUGAAUGUUUAGUUCCCUUGCAUUCUUAAGGUUUAGGUUAGUAAUAUGCUUCUGGUGCGUGCUGGUUGGUAGGAUGUUUGACAGAGACGAGUGACAGAUGGCGCUGAUGUCUCAAGCCUAACGCAACAAACAGUACUGUUGGCUGCCUAGUCUGCCAGCGCCAAGCAGCAACGAGGAGGGUGAUGGAUGGGUGUUCUCGACGAAAUUGGUCGACUCAUGUUUCGUGGCAACAGAGUGAGGCUACGUGUGAGACUUGGGUGGUGGUGUCACAUGCGCGUUACUACAAGUUCGGAUAAGUGUUCAAAGCUUUUUUGCAAUACUAGCCAAGAGGACAGCGGCGGUAGUGAUGUGCCAGAAUUUGCUGCUAUAGCUUUGAGUGGUAGUGUGUGGCUAUAAUAGUAAUCUGGUGUGUAUAUGAAAUUUACAAUUAACUUAAGGACUUUAAACUAGUGUCAUACUUAUUCCGUUGCAAUUUUGUUCAUUUAUUUUCCUUGCAGAUCUUUCGUUGCUCCUGGUCGCUGGCCCCUUACCUGCUGCUGCUCAAGACUUCCUCUCGUCACCUGCGCCUGAGUAGCGGCCGAGGACGCUACAACUCCCUACAUACCCCAAGGAUUCUAUCUAUAUUCCUUGAAUACCCCGAGCGGCGCCUCCCCAUUCCCUGGCGUGGGUGAGCCGCCUACCGACCCUCCACUCAUGGAUCAGUAGUGUUGCUGGUUAAUGAGUACAUGGUCCUAAGAGUUCGAGAGACUCUCCACUUUUGAAAUUUUAUUUUAUUUUUUUUAACAAUUUUUUUCGCUGAGAACUCGAGAUACCAUUUCUCCGGACGCUCUUCGAAGUAUUGUAAGCCAUAAUUUCAACGUUUCAUUUCGUGAAAUAUAUUAAUUUUAUCUGAAGAAGCAAUCAAGUUCCAAUCAAUUUAACUAAUUAAUGUCUUCACAAUUUGUUACAAAACACAAUCUGUUGUUGUCAAUGUGUAAUACGAAGAUGUGUAGAGUGGUAGUAUCAGAUAAAUCACAUGUAAUCUACACAACCUACACAAGUGUAAGGAAUUUUAAAUAUAAAUACACAUUUUGCUUCAA